AGAGUUUGAUCCUGGCUCAGGAUGAACGCUGGCGGCGUGCCUAAUACAUGCAAGUCGAGCGAACGGACGAGAAGCUUGCUUCUCUGAUGUUAGCGGCGGACGGGUGAGUAACACGUGGAUAACCUACCUAUAAGACUGGGAUAACUUCGGGAAACCGGAGCUAAUACCGGAUAAUAUUUUGAACCGCAUGGUUCAAAAGUGAAAGACGGUCUUGCUGUCACUUAUAGAUGGAUCCGCGCUGCAUUAGCUAGUUGGUAAGGUAACGGCUUACCAAGGCAACGAUGCAUAGCCGACCUGAGAGGGUGAUCGGCCACACUGGAACUGAGACACGGUCCAGACUCCUACGGGAGGCAGCAGUAGGGAAUCUUCCGCAAUGGGCGAAAGCCUGACGGAGCAACGCCGCGUGAGUGAUGAAGGUCUUCGGAUCGUAAAACUCUGUUAUUAGGGAAGAACAUAUGUGUAAGUAACUGUGCACAUCUUGACGGUACCUAAUCAGAAAGCCACGGCUAACUACGUGCCAGCAGCCGCGGUAAUACGUAGGUGGCAAGCGUUAUCCGGAAUUAUUGGGCGUAAAGCGCGCGUAGGCGGUUUUUUAAGUCUGAUGUGAAAGCCCACGGCUCAACCGUGGAGGGUCAUUGGAAACUGGAAAACUUGAGUGCAGAAGAGGAAAGUGGAAUUCCAUGUGUAGCGGUGAAAUGCGCAGAGAUAUGGAGGAACACCAGUGGCGAAGGCGACUUUCUGGUCUGUAACUGACGCUGAUGUGCGAAAGCGUGGGGAUCAAACAGGAUUAGAUACCCUGGUAGUCCACGCCGUAAACGAUGAGUGCUAAGUGUUAGGGGGUUUCCGCCCCUUAGUGCUGCAGCUAACGCAUUAAGCACUCCGCCUGGGGAGUACGACCGCAAGGUUGAAACUCAAAGGAAUUGACGGGGACCCGCACAAGCGGUGGAGCAUGUGGUUUAAUUCGAAGCAACGCGAAGAACCUUACCAAAUCUUGACAUCCUUUGACAACUCUAGAGAUAGAGCCUUCCCCUUCGGGGGACAAAGUGACAGGUGGUGCAUGGUUGUCGUCAGCUCGUGUCGUGAGAUGUUGGGUUAAGUCCCGCAACGAGCGCAACCCUUAAGCUUAGUUGCCAUCAUUAAGUUGGGCACUCUAAGUUGACUGCCGGUGACAAACCGGAGGAAGGUGGGGAUGACGUCAAAUCAUCAUGCCCCUUAUGAUUUGGGCUACACACGUGCUACAAUGGACAAUACAAAGGGCAGCGAAACCGCGAGGUCAAGCAAAUCCCAUAAAGUUGUUCUCAGUUCGGAUUGUAGUCUGCAACUCGACUACAUGAAGCUGGAAUC
rnacentral:rRNA from 1 species